UCCCUGAUAGCUCAGUUGGUAAAGAAUCCGCCUGCAAUGCAGGAGACCCUGGUUUGAUUCCUGGGCUGGGAA
rnacentral:tRNA from 1 species